rnacentral:rRNA from 15 species
GGUUGCUAACAUAUCGGUACUAAAGUAUUGGAUCCCAUGAGAACUCCGAAGUUAAGUGUUCUUGGGCAAGAGUAGUACUAGGAUGGGUGACCCCUUGGGAAGUCCUCGUGUUGUACUCC